UUGCAAAGGAUUCUAC
rnacentral:sRNA from 1 species